UGCAUAUCAAUAAGCGGAGGAAAAGAAACUAACAAGGAUUCCCCUAGUAACGGCGAGUGAAGCGGGAUGAGCUCAAAUUUGUAAUCUGGUGGACUCAGUUCAUCCGAGUUGUAAUCUAUAGAAGUGUUUUCCGCGCUGGACCGUGUCUAAGUCCCUUGGAACAGGGUGUCAGAGAGGGUGAGAAUCCCGUGCUUGAUACGAUCACCAGUGCUAUGUGAUACACUUUCAACGAGUCGAGUUGUUUGGGAAUGCAGCUCAAAAUGGGUGGUAAAUUCCAUCUAAAGCUAAAUAUUGGCGAGAGACCGAUAGCGAACAAGUACCGUGAGGGAAAGAUGAAAAGCACUUUGGAAAGAGAGUUAAACAGUACGUGAAAUUGUUAAAAGGGAAACGAUUGAAGUCAGUCGUGCUCUCUGGGACUCAGCCGGUUCUUCCGGUGUACUUCCCAGUGAGCGGGUCAACAUCAGUUUAGAUCGCUGGAUAAAGGUAUUAGGAAGGUGGCUCCCUCGGGAGUGUUAUAGCCUAGUAUCGCAUACAGUGGUUUAGACUGAGGAACGCAGCUCGCCUUUAUGGCCGGGGUUCGCCCACGUCCGAGCUUAGGAUGUUGACAUAAUGGCUUUAAACGACCCGUCUUGAAACACGGAC
rnacentral:rRNA from 1 species